rnacentral:rRNA from 1 species
AGGGGAAUCUUCCGCAAUGGGCGAAAGCCUGACGGAGCAACGCCGCGUGAGUGAAGAAGGAUUCGGUUCGUAAAGCUCUGUUGUUAGGGAAGAAUGAUUGUGUAGUAACUAUACACAGUAGAGACGGUACCUAACCAGAAAGCCACGGCUAACUACGUGCCAGCAGCCGCGGUAAU